CCACUCUCUCUCUCUCUCUCUCUCUCUCUCUCAACCAGUCACUUCUGCUCGAUGAAGAAAGAUGAAGCAAACCCUUCCUUCCUCCUGCUCAAGCUCGCUCCCCACCACCGCUGCCUCUCCGAUUCCUCGCAGCAGGGAGAACCCUCCUCCUCCCUUCUCUCCCAACAACGCCCAUUCCCUUCCUCAAUCUCUCUCUCUCUCUCUAUCUUGCUCCCUUUCUCUCUCUGAACUGGGGCGCUCGCUGGAGCUCUCUCAAGGGCGCUCUGAGAGGGGGGAGAGGAAACAGUUCUGAGGUGCG
rnacentral:lncRNA from 1 species